rnacentral:rRNA from 1 species
CCCUUAGAUGUUCUGGGCCGCACGCGCGCUACACUGACGGAUUCAACGAGCUUACAACCUUGGCCGAAAGGUCUGGGUAAUCUCCAAAAUCCGUCGUGAUGGGGAUAGAUUAUUGCAAUUAUUAAUCUUCGACGAGGAAUGCCUAGUAAGCGCAAGUCAUCAGCUUGCGUUGAUUACGUCCCUGCCCUUUGUACACACCGCCCGUCGCUCCUACCGAUUGAAUGGUCCGGUGAAGCGUUUGGACUAUGGUUUUCUGAUGGUCCGCCGUUGGACUACCGUGGGAAGUUCGUUAAACCUUAUCAUUUAGAGGAAGGAGAAGUCGUAACA